CGGUGUUUAACUGGCGUGAUGUGGGACGUCCUACCGGUGGGCUUAGCCUCGCGAGGGGCGGCCCAACUAAUAUCCCGUCGCGGUGCUCUUUACUGAGUGUCGAGUCGGGCCGGUACGUUUACUUUGAACAAAUUAGAGUGCUUAAAGCAGGCUAUCCUCGCCUGAAUACUGCGUGCAUGGAAUAAUGGAAUAGGACCUCGGUUCUAUUUUGUUGGUUUUCGGAACCCCGAGGUAAUGAUUAAUAGGGACAGAUGGGGGCAUUCGUAUUGCGACGUUAGAGGUGAAAUUCUUGGAUCGUCGCAAGACGGACAGAAGCGAAAGCAUUUGCCAAAAAUGUUUUCAUUAAUCAAGAACGAAAGUUAGAGGUUCGAAGGCGAUCAGAUACCGCCCUAGUUCUAACCAUAAACGAUGCCAGCUAGCGAUCCGCCGAAGUUCCUCCGAUGACUCGGCGGGCAGCUUCCGGGAAACCAAAGCUUUUGGGUUCCGGGGGAAGUAUGGUUGCAAAGCUGAAACUUAAAGGAAUUGACGGAAGGGCACCACCAGGAGUGGAGCCUGCGGCUUAAUUUGACUCAACACGGGAAACCUCACCAGGCCCAGACACCGGAAGGAUUGACAGAUUGAUAGCUCUUUCUUGAUUCGGUGGGGUGGUGGUGCAUGGGCCGUUCUUAGUUGGUGGAGCGAUUUGUCUGGGUUAAUUCCGAUAACGAACGAGACUCUAGCCUGCUAAAUAGGCGUACCUUAUGGUAUCGCGAAGGCCCCCGGCUUCGGCCGGUGGGUUUUUACUACCAACGUACAAACAAAUCUUCUUAGAGGGACAGGCGG
rnacentral:rRNA from 1 species